rnacentral:rRNA from 1 species
CCUACGGGAGGCUGCAGUGGGGAAUAUUGGACAAUGGGGGGAACCCUGAUCCAGCCAUGCCGCGUGUGUGAAGAAGGCCCUCGGGUUGUAAAGCACUUUCAGUGAGGAAGAACGCCUGGUGGUUAAUACCCAUCAGGAAAGACAUCACUCACAGAAGAAGCACCGGCUAACUCCGUGCCAGCAGCCGCGGUAAUACGGAGGGUGCGAGCGUUAAUCGGAAUUACUGGGCGUAAAGCGCGCGUAGGUGGCUUGAUAAGCCGGUUGUGAAAGCCCCGGGCUCAACCUGGGAACGGCAUCCGGAACUGUCAAGCUAGAGUGCAGGAGAGGAAGGUAGAAUUCCCGGUGUAGCGGUGAAAUGCGUAGAGAUCGGGAGGAAUACCAGUGGCGAAGGCGGCCUUCUGGACUGACACUGACACUGAGGUGCGAAAGCGUGGUAGCAAACAGGAUUAGAUACCCUAGUAGUC